AAGGGAAAAACAGCUUAUUCUAUCAUCUCGACCUCGUCAAUCCAUCAGGCAUAAACACUGUAUCCGACGCGCCGCGGAGUGUGAAGCGGUGGAUAUAGAGGAGAAAAUGGCGAGCUAUCUAUGGAGAAAAUACGCAGAUUAUGUGCACACAAAGUGGGAAAGAACCCUUCUUUGGGACAUGAUAGAGCCCUACAGGAGACCUAAAUCUUUUACUCCUCUCGUAACCAUCUAUGUUACCGCUUUCUACACUGGUGUCAUCGGCGCUGCUAUUACUGAGCAACUCUACAAGGAAAAGUACUGGGAAGAUCACCCUGGCCAAGCAGUGCCACUUAUGAAGCCAAAAUUCUAUGGUGGACCCUGGAAGGUGUAUCAUGGCGCUGUGCCAACGAAUCCUAAUCAGUGAGAGCCACAGCAGCCAGUUUUCAACCUGUGCCGAGGUUUCUUCCUUCUGAUAUCUAGUGAGUCAUGCUUAUUGUAUAAAGUUUCAAAAAAUAAAAGAUGCUAUCCAGCAGCACAGCACAGCUAGAUGCAGCAUCGGUCCACCGAAGGGAGUCAGAGAUCUGAGUCUUGAAGCUAUUUCUUCUCCAAUAGAGAAGCCAGCUGUAUGAAAUUAAGCCAAGGAUUUAAGCAUUAAGCAUAAAUCUAUAUAUAUGUGUUAGUGUUGCUAUGUAUGUUGUUUACUGAAGAAGAAUAUCUGUAAUGGAGGUACCAGUGGUGCUAUUUUGUGUAUUGGCAUUUUCCCCUGUAAAAGAACUGCAGAAGAUUACAGUCGGCUUUAUUCUUUGUCAUUCUUGUUCAAGUUCGGCAUGAUUCAAUAAUAUCAUCUUGAUCCAA